rnacentral:rRNA from 1 species
UACGUAGGGUGCGAGCGUUGUCCGGAAUUAUUGGGCGUAAAGGGCUCGUAGGCGGUCUGUCGCGUCGGAUGUGAAAACCCAGGGCUCAACCCUGGGCCUGCAUUCGAUACGGGCAGACUAGAGUUCGGUAGGGGAGACUGGAAUUCCUGGUGUAGCGGUGAAAUGCGCAGAUAUCAGGAGGAACACCGGUGGCGAAGGCGGGUCUCUGGGCCGAAACUGACGCUGAGGAGCGAAAGCGUGGGGAGCAAACAGG